UACGUAGGGUGCAAGCGUUGUCCGGAAUUAUUGGGCGUAAAGAGCUCGUAGGCGGUCUGUCGCGUCGGCUGUGAAAACUCGGGGCUCAACCCCGAGCCUGCAGUCGAUACGGGCAGACUAGAGUGCUGUAGGGGAGACUGGAAUUCCUGGUGUAGCGGUGAAAUGCGCAGAUAUCAGGAGGAACACCGGUGGCGAAGGCGGGUCUCGUGGGCAGUAACUGACGUGGAGGAGCGAAAGCGUGGGGAGCGAA
rnacentral:rRNA from 1 species